UCUCCGUUGGUGAACCAGCGGAGGGAUCAUUACAGAGUUGAAAAACUCCCACAACCCAAUGUGAACCUACCAAGUUGCCUCGGCGAGAGCCACCGGGGACACCCGGGAGCCCGCCGGCGGACCAUCAAAUUCUUGUUUCUCUCCGAGAGUGGAAUCUGAGCGUACGAUAAAAAAAAUGAAUCAAAACUUUCAACAACGGAUCUCUUGGUUCUGGCAUCGAUGAAGAACGCAGC
rnacentral:misc_RNA from 1 species